rnacentral:rRNA from 1 species
GUGGAUUAGAUACCCGGGUAGUCCACGCUGUAAACGAUGUGCACUAGGUGUUGGAGGUACUUAAUCCUCCAGUGCCGCAGCUAACGCAUUAAGUGCACCGCCUGGGGAAUACGGCCGCAAGGUUAAAACUCAAAGGAAUUGACGGGGGCCCGCACAAGCGGUGGAGUAUGUGGUUUAAUUCGACGCAACACGCAAAACCUUACCUGGGCUUGACAUGCUGGGAUUAGCUCUGAGAAAUCAGAGCGAUUGCCUUCGGGUGUAACCAGCACAGGUGCUGCACGGCUGUCGUCAGCU